GACGAACGCUGGCGGCGUGCUUAACACAUGCAAGUCGAGCGGAAAGGCCACUUCGGUAGUACUCGAGCGGCGAACGGGUGAGUAACACGUGAGUAAUCUGCCCUUGGCUUUGGGAUAGCCACCGGAAACGGUGAUUAAUACCGGAUAUGACCACUCUAGGCAUCUAGUGGUGGUGGAAAGUUUUUCGGCCAGGGAUGUGCUCGCGGCCUAUCAGCUGGAUGGUGAGGUAAUGGCUCACCAUGGCUUCGACGGGUAGCCGGCCUGAGAGGGUGACCGGUCACACUGGGACUGAGACACGGCCCAGACUCCUACGGGAGGCAGCAGUGGGGAAUAUUGGACAAUGGGCGGAAGCCUGAUCCAGCAACGCCGCGUGAGGGAUGACGGCCUUCGGGUUGUAAACCUCUUUCGGUAGGGACGAAGCGUGAGUGACGGUACCUACUAAAGAAGCACCGGCCAACUACGUGCCAGCAGCCGCCGUAAUAC
rnacentral:rRNA from 1 species